AUUUUUGGGCACUAUUGAUAUGCUCAAUUCAUGUAUGAAGCCAAAAACACUAUCUAGAUUUGAAAGUCAGAUCAGGUAGAGAAGAUACAGCAACCUGAAUAAGACCAGUCUGGAGGUCUGACCUUAGUUUGGUGGUUGUAGCUUGAAAACUCUAGGAGGAGAUACAGUCCAAAUUUAAUCUAAGAAGAAGAAGCCAACAUAAUGACUUAGUGCACAUUCCAGGUAGGUCUUUUGCAGAAACAGAGCAAAUGAAGGUUUUGAAAACGCUGUCCGAAGACCUUCAGGCUUUUCAGUCCAAGACAAAUGACAGUACUCGACAAAUUACAGGUUCUAGUGCAUUCCAGUGGAAGAGCUACUGUAAAGAAUCUGAGCUGUCAAGAAGCAAUCAAAGCUCAAUUCAAACUCAGCACUCGAACCAAUCAACACAAGGUGACUUUCUGCUAAUCCAUACGAGUAUCGGGCAAGAAGCUGCGCUCUGUACUUUGAUCAGGUUUCCGAUACAGUGCGGACUUGGGCCAGGAUUGGCGUUGGUGGUACUGUCUUGAGGAGAUGCCUGUUGUGUAAAUGACAGCAGACAGAUACUAUGACAAGCGUCUGAGACUCACUGUCCCUUUAACAGCUCCGACAGAACAUCUGUCAAUUCCCCCUCGCGG
ensembl:lncRNA